GAUGAACGCUGGCGGCGUGCCUAAUACAUGCAAGUCGAGCGAACAGAUGAGGAGCUUGCUCCUCUGACGUUAGCGGCGGACGGGUGAGUAACACGUGGAUAACCUACCUAUAAGACUGGGAUAACUUCGGGAAACCGGAGCUAAUACCGGAUAAUAUAUUGAACCGCAUGGUUCAAUAGUGGAAGACGGUUUUGCUGUCACUUAUAGAUGGAUCCGCGCCGCAUUAGCUAGUUGGUAAGGUAACGGCUUACCAAGGCAACGAUGCGUAGCCGACCUGAGAGGGGGCACCGGCCCCCGGGGAACUGAGAAACGGCCCGACUCCCAAGGGAGGGAAGAGGGAGGAAUUCUCCCGAAAGGGGGGAAGGCUGAAGGGGGAACCGCGGGGGGGGUAAUGAGGUGUUCCGGACGGAAAAACGUUGUUAUGGGGAAAAAAAAAAGGUGAAGGUAACUAUCCAGGUUUGGAGGGUCCCAAAACAGAAAACCGCGCUAAACUCGUC
rnacentral:rRNA from 1 species